GAAUCAUAAUGGACCAUAAUGAGCUCAUAAUGGACGUAAGAGAGAGCUGUAACAUCUUAGAAAGUGUCAAAGACUCCUGAAGUAUCCUGUGACUCACAGUAUUACAUCAUCAAGCAUAAAACUCCCCACUGCAGGGGAGGUGCCAGAGGCCUUCCCAUCUGAGCCUGAGUUUUGGGGCUUCCCAGAUCUCCCUGGACUUCUACCACCACCUCAGAUCUGAAUUGUGAUCACCACUUCAACCAACAAACAUGGAAAUUGCAACAACUAAGUCUCAUCACUGGAUCUAACAGGUGUGGGGGAGGGGAACCAUGUGGAAGGGUGGCCUUCUGCUCUCUGUGCUGUGGCCACAUGUGUUUUUUCCAGAAGGUAUAUGGAUUCUAUUUCUUUUUGUGCAUCAUCAGUGACUGCCUGCCUGCCUGCCUCCUGGAGCAAGCUUUAAAUCUAGACAAUGGAGGACAAGUUUGCUACCUGUGAACCAGUAAUAACAAACCCAGAAACUAAUGAUACUAAUUUUAAUAGAA